UAAGGAAUAUUGCUCAAUGGGGGAAACCCUGAACUAGCAACGCCGCGUGAAGGAAGAAGGUCUUCGGAUUGUAAACUUUUGUCUUCAGGGAAGAAAUAAAUGACGGUACCUGAGGAGGAAGCCACGGCUAACUACGUGCCAGCAGCCGCGGUAAUACGUAGGUGGCAAGCGUUGUCCGGAAUUACUGGGUGUAAAGGGUGCGUAGGCGGGUAUGUAAGUCAGGUGUGAAAUUCCGAGGCUCAACUUCGGAACUGCAUUUGAAACUACAUAUCUUGAGUGAAGGAGAGGUCAGUGGAAUUCCCAGUGUAGCGGUGAAAUGCGUAGAUAUUGGGAGGAACACCAGUGGCGAAGGCGACUUACUGGACUUUAACUGACGCUGAUGCACGAAAGCGUGGGUAGCAAACA
rnacentral:rRNA from 1 species